UCUUUGAAUUGAAAAGAGCAAAGAUUGCCUAAGCCCUGGUGGCCUUUAAAAUAUUCAACUAGUCAAAAGCAGUCAGUUUGAGAGAGUUUGAGGCUGGAUUUCAACACAACCAGCCGAGAGGAGUGACAUUCUCCAGAUGGAUGAAGACCCAGAAAAGUGGCGACUUGAGGUAGGGGGCAGCCCUGGAAUCGGAGAAGAGAUCUGACUCUGGAGGUAAGGAAACUGCGGCUGAAGGAGGUUAAGUGACUUGCCCAGGGUGCAAGACACAGACACAGCUGGCAAAUGUCUGAGAGAUAAGAAGUCUGUGCACAUCAGUUCCAAAGACUGCUCCCUUGCGGGACCACUGAAGCCAUCCAUGCCAUCUGCCUGCCUGGACCAGCCCCUUUGCACCAGACCACCAGAAUCCAUGCCACCUGCCUUCCUGGACCAGCCCCUGUGCACCAGGCCACCAGAAUCCAUGCCAUCUGCCUGCCUGGACCAGCCCCUGUACACCAGACCACCAGAAUCCAUGCCAUCUGCCUGCCUGGACCAGCCCCUGUGCACCAGGCCACCAGAAUCCAUGCCACCUGCCUGCCUGGACCAGCCCCUGUGCACCAGGCCACCAGAAUCCAUGUCCUCAUUCCUGGGGAAGUUAAUCUACUCUAGCCUAGUCUACUAUAAUUAAUUGGCCUUGGCCCAUACCAUCUUUAUCCAUCCAUCCAUCUGGGUCAUCUUGUCAUUAGCCCCUCCAUAACCCGUGUAACUCUUCUGCAGUCCUGCUGCUCUGGCCGCAAGAAUGAAAUCAAAGGUACUAUUCUUUUUGGAAAGGCUUUUGAUAAUUGACAGCCCUAUGGAUCAAUUCACCAUCCAGAUGAUAACUCUCUUCACUGGCCACCAUUUUCCUAUAUUUAUUGUUUUCCUCAUUAAAAUGUAAGUUUUUCAAGGGCAGGGACUAUAUUACUUUUUAUAAUGAUAGCCUCAGAACUUAACACAGUGCCUG